GGACUGAGUGUUAGACACAGUACCAUUAGCACGAGGCUGCUGCACGAGCCGAGAGGCAGGUUCCAGCAAUGGGGCUGCACGACCAAGGCCGGCUGGAAGAACAGGAGUGGGCCCAGCAGCAGCAGAAUUUUCAGAUGAAGGAAGAAUAGGUCGAGGCCCUGCAGCAGCAGAAUUUUUAAAUGAAGGAAGAACAGGUCGAGGCCCAGCAACAGCAGAAUUUUCAGAUGAAGGAAGAACAGGUCGAGGCCCAGCAGAAUUUUCAGAUGAAGGAAAAACAGGUCGAGGCCCAGCACCAGUUGAAUUUUCCGAUGAAGGAAGAAGAGGUCGAGGCCCAGCAGCAGAAGAAUUUUCAGUUGAAGAAGAAAUAUCUGCUGAAGGUUGAACAGGUUGCUCUCCAGUCUCUUGUGUGGUUUCUGUCUCUUGAAUAAUCUUUUCUUGUGUCCUUUCAGGCUCUUCAACCACAAAAGAGUUGUCAUCAUCUCUCUGAUUUUCAUCUGAAAUCUGAGAUUGAUCAUCCUUAUUACUUCC
rnacentral:lncRNA from 1 species